rnacentral:rRNA from 1 species
CCAGACACCUACGGGUGGCAGCAGUCGAGAAUUUUUCACAAUGGGGGAAACCUCUGAUGGAGCGACGCCGCGUGGGGGAUGAAUGGCUUCGGCCCGUAAACCCCUGUCAUUCGCGAACAAUGCCUGUGAUCUAAUAAAUCACAAGGUUGAUAGUAGCGGAAGAGGAAGGGACGGCUAACUUCUGUGCCAGCAGCCGCGGUAAUACAGAGGUCCCGAGCGUUGUUCGGAUUCACUGGGCGUAAAGGGUGCGUAGGCGGUCGGGUAAGUCUGAUGUGAAAUCUCACAGCUUAACUGUGAAACUGCAUUGGAUACUAUUCGGCUUGAGGUCUGGAGGGGGGACUGGAAUUCUCGGUGUAGCAGUGAAAUGCGUAGAUAUCGAGAGGAACACCAGUGGCGAAGGCGAGUCCCUGGACAGGUCCUGACGCU